GUGCGAGACCGAUAGCGAACAAGUACCGUGAGGAAAAGAUGAAGAGAACUUUGAAAAGAGAGUUAAAGAGUACCUGAAACUGCUGAAAGGGAAGCGAAUCGUAUCCAGUGUCUAUAAUCUGCGGCAUAUUUCAUUGGCGGCGGUGCGCGUGCUUUUGCGUCGGAAGCGGCUUUUGUUGCUCUGUGCUUUUGCUGUGCGUGGUGUUGCUGGUGCCCUGUGUUGCGGUGGGACGUCAGAGUCAGUUUGUAUGCUGCGGGAAAUGGCUGCCGAGGAGGUAGGUCGAGAUUUCGGUCUUGGCUGUUAUAUCUUGGUGGUUUGUUGUCGUGGUUGGGACUGAGGUGCCUACAAUGUGCUUUUGAGUGUGCCGGGUUCUCAUUUGGUGGACUGUUUGGAUAGCUUGCUAUGCUUGUGGUUUUUUCAUCGAGUGAUUGAGUCUGGUGGUAACUUGUUGCUGUUCGGGACUUUGA
rnacentral:rRNA from 2 species